rfam:Triticum aestivum genome assembly, contig: Triticum_aestivum_CS42_TGACv1_scaffold_146035_2BS
CACAUACACCUUCCGUCCGAAAAAACUUGUCCCAAACUUGUUUCUUAAUUGAUGUAUCUAGCACUAACUUAGUGCUAGAUACAUCCAAUUGAGGGAUAAGUUUUUCCGGACGGAGGGAGUAUGUC